CCUACGGGAGGCAGCAGUGAGGAAUAUUGGUCAAUGGCCGAGAGUCUGAACCAGCCAAGUAGCGUGAAGGAUGACUGCCCUAUGGGUUGUAGACUUCUUUUAUCAGGGAAUAAAACGAGGCACGUGUGCCUUUUUGCAUGUACUUUAUGAAUAAGGAUCGGCUAACUCCGUGCCAGCAGCCGCGGUAAUACGGAGGAUUCGAGCGUUAUCCGGAUUUAUUGGGUUUAAAGGGAGCGUAGGUGGGUCGUUAAGGCAGUUGUGAAAGUUUGGGGCUCAACCGUAAAAUUGCAAUUGAUACUGGCAGUCUUGAGUGCAGUUGAGGCAGGCGGAAUUCGUGGUGUAGCGGUGAAAUGCUUAGAUAUCACGCAGAACCCCGAUUGCGAAGGCAGCUUACUAAACUGUGACUGACAUUGAUGCUCGAAAGUGUGGGUAUCAAACAGGAUUAGAUACCCCAGUAGUC
rnacentral:rRNA from 1 species